GGCAGUGUGGUGUAAGUAAGCAUGUUGGUUUUGUAAUCUAAAGGUGGGUUUUCCCUCUGUCU
rnacentral:tRNA from 1 species